AUAGAAGUGAGGGGGAUGCAUCGUACUCAUCCCCCGCGUCUGAUACGCGCCUGACCACAAUUAUAGCCUAUUAAAUAAUGACGCUAAGCUGCCAAGCUUUGUAUUCUGUAACUUACCUGAUAUGAAGUGAUCGCUGCACAAGCGGAAUCCAACAGCCGGGGGGUCCCAUUUUUCAGUCUUUUUUUGCUUGCUCCUGGCUCUUUUAAUGGCGCUGAUCCACUUAGCUCGCCUCUCCGCAUCUUUAGGAAUGCGGUAGAACGACGUACAUUUAUUUUUGCCUCGUUUAUUUGUGCAACCUGGUGCACAACAGUUAUCGACCAUGUCUGCUCCACCACAAGAGCGCCAGUCUGCCGAAUACUGCCAAAAUGGUGGUGCCCACGUUUUCCCCGCCCCAACAACGUCAACACCCGGAACUCUAUUGCAGCCAUUGCAGCCAAUGAGCUCGAGUUGAAAAAGAAAAUAGCUUACAGCACGUGGUUUCACUCAGGUAAAUUGUAUCCCCUUCACCGUUUGCUAGUUGAUAAUUAGACCUUUUUUUUAAGAUGGAACAUGGAGGAGCCUACACAUCAGUGCACCGUGUGCGACAAGACAUUCAGUGAAAAGUCCAACCUGGUGAGUCAUCUGAAGAUCCAUGCCAUCGCCAGGGAGACCUUUACCUGUGAUGUCUGCGGAAAGAGCUUGGCCACUAAACCAUCGCUGGUCAGCCAUCAACAGCUACACCAGUACCCCAACAUCAUUUUGUACCGGCAAGGAGAGGCCAGGCUGUACUGUACAGAGGCAGCAAGGUCUGUGGCAGAGGCCCGCAGCAGCACUGUUGUUGACCCUAAAUGGCUGGAUCUCAAGACAGCAGAGGCGGCUGCCAAGAGGUCGGGGGCUGAGCUGUGGAAAGGUCAGCUGGUCCUCACGUUCGGGUAGUACGCCGGUCAGACCUUCAGGUGGCUUGUGGAGAAUGAUGUCGGCUGGCUGGUGUG